rnacentral:rRNA from 1 species
GACGAACGCUGGCGGCAUGCCUAAUACAUGCAAGUCGAGCGGAGUUGAUGGAAAGCUUGCUUUCCUGAUACUUAGCGGCGGACGGGUGAGUAACACGUAGGCAACCUGCCCUCAAGCUUGGGACAAUUAACGGAAACGGUAGCUAAUACCGAAUACUUGUUUUCUUCGCCUGAAGAGAACUGGAAGGACGGAGCAAUCUGUCACUUGGGGAUGGGCCUGCGGCGCAUUAGCUAGUUGGUGAGGUAACGGCUCACCAAGGCGACGAUGCGUAGCCGACCGGAGAGGGUGAUCGGCCACACUGGGACUGAGACACGGCCCAGACUCCUACGGGAGGCAGCAGUAGGGAAUCUUCCGCAAUGGGCGAAAGCCUGACGGAGCAAUGCCGCGUGAGUGAUGAAGGUUUUCGGAUCGUAAAGCUCUGUUGCCAGGGAAGAACGCUUGGGAGAGUAACUGCUCCCAAGGUGACGGUACCUGAGAAGAAAGCCCCGGCUAACUACGUGCCAGCCGCCGCAGUAA